rnacentral:rRNA from 1 species
GCGGCAUCUUCGAAUUGUAGUCUUGUAAGUUAGCAUCACUUUCAUUUUUUUUUAUUAAAGUAUAAAUCUUUUGGAAUAAAGUAUCAUGGAGGGUGAGAAUCCCGUUUUAUGACUUUUUUAAAAAAAUGAAAACAUGUGUUGCUUUCUUUUAGAGUCGGGUUGUUUGGGAUCGCAGCCCUAAAUGGGUGGUAAAUUCCAUCUAAAGCUAAAUAUAGGCGAGA